CACGUAGGGGGCGAGCGUUGUCCGGAUUUAUUGGGCGUAAAGAGCUCGUAGGCGGUUUCGUAAGUCGGAUGUGAAAACUCCAGGCUCAACUUGGAGACGCCAUUCGAUACUGCGAUGACUUGAGUCCGGUAGGGGAGUGUGGAAUUCCUGGUGUAGCGGUGAAAUGCGCAGAUAUCAGGAGGAACACCUAUGGCGAAGGCAGCUCGCUGGGACGGUACUGACGCUGAGACGCGAAAGCGUGGGGAGCGAACAGG
rnacentral:rRNA from 1 species